rnacentral:rRNA from 1 species
UACAGAGACUGCAAGCGUUAUUCGGAUUCACUGGGCGUAAAGGGUGCGCAGGCGGCCGGGUGUGUCAGAUGUGAAAUCCCGAGGCUCAACCUCGGAACUGCGUCUGAAACUACUCGGCUAGAGUACUGGAGAGGGUAACGGAAUUCACGGUGUAGCAGUGAAAUGCGUAGAUAUCGUGAGGAACACCAGAGGCGAAGGCGGUUACCUGGACCAGCACUGACACUGAGGCACGAAAGCGUGGGGAGCAAACAGG